UUCCAAAGCCCCUUUCUCCUCUCAUUUCUAGGGUCUCUCUUUCUUUUAAAGCUUCCAAUCCCACCAUGGGAGACUCUGCCGACGCUGGAAUGGACGCUGUCUAGAGACGCCUUAUGUUUGAGGACGAAUGCAUUCUAGUGGAUAAGAACGACCGGGUUGUUGGUCAUGAUACAAAAUAUAAUUGUCACUUGAUGGAAAAGAUUGAAAAGGAAAAUUUGCUGCAUAGGGCUUUCAGUGUGUUUUUGUUCAACUCGAAAUACGAGUUGCUUCUUUAGGUAUUGCUUACAAUAUUUGAGGGACAUCAAGCUAUAUGAUUUGCCAAUUAGGUACCCGAACCUUAGAUCUUGUGGGAGCAAACAAUAGACCUGACUAUUUGAACUGCCCUCCUAGGUGCUUACAUUUAUAGUAAUAAGUGUCAUGUGAAGAACCAAGUCAAGAUCUAGAUCUAUUAGGAGGGCAUAAAUUGAAUAAUUGUGUCAUAUUCUAU